CGGGAUAACCCGGAGAAAUCCGGCCUAAUACCGCAUGUGGCCGAGGGGAGGCAUCUUCUUUCGGCCAAAGGAGGCAACUCCGGAGACGGAUGGGCAUGCGUGACAUUAGCUUGUUGGCGGGGUAACGGCCCACCAAGGCGACGAUGUCUAGGGGUUCUGAGAGGAAGGUCCCCCACACUGGUACUGAGACACGGACCAGACUCCUACGGGAGGCAGCAGUGAGGAAUAUUGGUCAAUGGGCGAGAGCCUGAACCAGCCAAGUCGCGUGAAGGAUGACGGCCCUACGGGUUGUAAACUUCUUUUGUCAGGGAGCAAUUGAGUCCACGUGUGGGCUUAGCGAGAGUACCUGAAGAAAAAGCAUCGGCUAACUCCGUGCCAGCAGCCGCGGUAAUACGGAGGAUGCGAGCGUUAUCCGGAUUUAUUGGGUUUAAAGGGUGCGUAGGCGGAAUAUCAAGUCAGCGGUAAGAAUUCGGGGCUCAACCCCGUCGUGCCGUUGAAACUGAUGUUCUUGAGUGGGCGAGAAGUAUGCGGAAUGCGUGGUGUAGCGGUGAAAUGCAUAGAUAUCACGCAGAACUCCGAUUGCGAAGGCAGCAUACCGGCGCCCAACUGACGCUGAAGCACGAAAGCGUGGGUAUCGAACAGGAUUAGAUACCCUGGUAGUCCACGCAGUAAACGAUGAA
rnacentral:rRNA from 1 species